rnacentral:miRNA from 2 species
GGCAAGUUGUUCUUGGCUACA